UAGGGAAUAUUGGACAAUGGGUGAGAGCCUGAUCCAGCCAUGCCGCGUGCAGGAAGAAGGCGUUAUGCGUUGUAAACUGCUUUUGCCAGGGGAUAAAAUGACCGUGCGCGGUUAAUUGAAGGUACCUGGUGAAUAAGCCACGGCUAACUACGUGCCAGCAGCCGCGGUAAUACGUAGGUGGCAAGCGUUGUCCGGAUUUAUUGGGUUUAAAGGGUGCGUAGGUGGCCCUGUAAGUCAGUGGUGAAAUAUCUCAGCUUAACUGAGAGGGUGCCAUUGAUACUGCAGGGCUUGAGUACAGAUGAGGUAGGCGGAAUUGACGGUGUAGCGGUGAAAUGCAUAGAUAUCGUCAAGAACACCGAUAGCGAAGGCAGCUUACCAAGCUGUAACUGACACUGAGGCACGAAAGUGUGGGGAUCAAACAGGAUUAGAUACCCCAGUAGUCCCUGAGCGGGCUGGCAAGGCGCAU
rnacentral:rRNA from 1 species